rnacentral:rRNA from 1 species
CAUCUGCAGUCGAGCGGACAGAAGGGAGCUUGCUCCCGGAUGUUAGCGGCGGACGGGUGAGUAACACGUGGGUAACCUGCCUGUAAGACUGGGAUAACUCCGGGAAACCGGAGCUAAUACCGGAUAGUUCCUUGAACCGCAUGGUUCAAGGAUGAAAGACGGUUUCGGCUGUCACUUACAGAUGGACCCGCGGCGCAUUAGCUAGUUGGUGAGGUAACGGCUCACCAAGGCGACGAUGCGUAGCCGACCUGAGAGGGUGAUCGGCCACACUGGGACUGAGACACGGCCCAGACUCCUACGGGAGGCAGCAGUAGGGAAUCUUCCGCAAUGGACGAAAGUCUGACGGAGCAACGCCGCGUGAGUGAUGAAGGUUUUCGGAUCGUAAAGCUCUGUUGUUAGGGAAGAACAAGUGCAAGAGUAACUGCUUGCACCUUGACGGUACCUAACCAGAAAGCCACGGCUAACUACGUGCCAGCAGCCGCGGUAAUACGUAGGUGGCAAGCGUUGUCCGGAAUUAUUGGGCGUAAAGGGCUCGCAGGCGGUUUCUUAAGUCUGAUGUGAAAGCCCCCGGCUCAACCGGGGAGGGUCAUUGGAAACUGGGAAACUUGAGUGCAGAAGAGGAGAGUGGAAUUCCACGUGUAGCGGUGAAAUGCGUAGAGAUGUGGAGGAACACCAGUGGCGAAGGCGACUCUCUGGUCUGUAACUGACGCUGAGGAGCGAAAGCGUGGGGAGCGAACAGGAUUAGAUACCCUGGUAGUCCACGCCGUAAACGAUGAGUGCUAAGUGUUAGGGGGUUUCCGCCCCUUAGUGCUGCAGCUAACGCAUUAAGCACUCCGCCUGGGGAGUACGGUCGCAAGACUGAAACUCAAGGAAUUGACGGGGGCCCGCACAAGCGGUGGAGCAUGUGGUUUAAUUCGAAGCAACGCGAGAACCUUACCAGGUCUUGACAUCCUCUGACACUCCUAGAGAUAGGGCUUUCCCUUCGGGACAGGAGUGACAGUGGUG